rnacentral:rRNA from 1 species
UACGGAGGGUGCAAGCGUUAUCCGGAUUCACUGGGUUUAAAGGGUGCGUAGGUGGCUUUGUAAGUCAGUGGUGAAAUCUUAGAGCUUAACUCUAAAACUGCCAUUGAUACUGCUUAGCUUGAAUCAAGUAGAGGUGGAUGGAAUAAUACAUGUAGCGGUGAAAUGCUUAGAUAUGUAUUAGAACACCGAUUGCGAAGGCAGUUCACUAUGCUUGUAUUGACACUGAGGCACGAAAGCGUGGGGAUCAAACAGGAUUAGAUACCCUUGUAGUCC